AUACGUAGGGUGCAAGCGUUAAUCGGAAUUACUGGGCGUAAAGCGUGCGCAGGCGGUUUUGUAAGACAGAGGUGAAAUCCCCGGGCUCAACCUGGGAACUGCCUUUGUGACUGCAAGGCUAGAGUACGGCAGAGGGGGAUGGAAUUCCGCGUGUAGCGGUGAAAUGCGUAGAUAUGCGGAGGAACACCGAUGGCGAAGGCAAGCCCCUGGGCCUGUACUGACGCUCAUGCACGAAAGCGUGGGGAGCAAACAGGAUUAGAUACCCUGGUAGUCCACGCCCUAAACGAUGUCAACUGGUUGUUGGGUCUUCAUUGACUCAGUAACGAAGCUAACGCGUGGAGUUGACCGCCUGGGGAGUACGGCCGCAAGGUUGAAACUCAAAUGAAUUGGCGGGG
rnacentral:rRNA from 1 species